rnacentral:rRNA from 1 species
GACGAACGCUGGCGGCGUGCCUAAUACAUGCAAGUGGAACGCAUUGAUAUCACCGGAGCUUGCUCCACCGAUAUAAAUGAGUCGCGAACGGGUGAGUAACGCGUAGGUAACCUGCCUGAUAGCGGGGGAUAACUAUUGGAAACGAUAGCUAAUACCGCAUGAGAGUGUUUAACACAUGUUAGAGACUUAAAAGAUACAAUUGUAUCACUAUCAGAUGGACCUGCGUUGUAUUAGCUAGUUGGUAGGGUAGCGGCCUACCAAGGCAACGAUACAUAGCCGACCUGAGAGGGUGAUCGGCCACACUGGGACUGAGACACGGCCCAGACUCCUACGGGAGGCAGCAGUAGGGAAUCUUCGGCAAUGGACGAAAGUCUGACCGAGCAACGCCGCGUGAGUGAAGAAGGUUUUCGGAUCGUAAAGCUCUGUUGUAGCGGAAGAACGCGUGUAAGAGUGGAAAGUUACACAGGACGUACGUACCAGAAAG